CGAGCAACUGGGGACGUAGUUCGCCCUCUUCGGGAUUCAUGGUCCCGACAAGGACGAACCGCGCGUCGUGGCUGUGCGAGACGCCGUCGCGCUCGAC
rnacentral:tRNA from 1 species